CUACCACAUCCAAGGAAGGCAGCAGGCGCGCAAAUUACCCACUCCCGGCACGGGGAGGUAGUGACGAAAAAUAACAAUACGGGACUCUUUUGAGACCCCGUAAUUGGAAUGAGUACACUCCAAAUCCUUUAACGAGGACCCAUCGGAGGGCAAGCCUGGUGCCAGCAGCCGCGGUAACUCCAGCUCCGAUAGCGUAUAUUAAAGUUGUUGCGGUUAAAAAGCUCGUAGUUGGAUCUCAGUUCCAGACGUGCGGUCCGCCUACCGGCGGUUACUGCUCGUUCUGAACACAUCGCCGGUUUCCCUUGAUGAUCUUCACCGGUUGUCUCGGGUGACCGGCAAGUUUACUUUGAAAAAAUUAGAGUGCUCAAAGCAGGCGUGACGCCUGGAUAAUGUUGCAUGGAAUAAUGGAAUAGGACCUCGGUUCUAUUUUGUUGGUUUUCGGAUCACGAGGUAAUGAUUAAGAGGGACAGACGGGGGCAUUCGUAUUGCGACGCUAGAGGUGAAAUUCUUGGACCGUCGCAAGACGAACUACUGCGAAAGCAUUUGCCAAGAAUGUUUCCAUUAAUCAAGAACGAAAGUUAGAGGUUCGAAGGCGAUCAGAUACCGCCCUAGUUCUAACCAUAAACGAUGCCAGCCAGCGAUCCGGCUGUGUUCCUCAAAUGACACGCCGGGCAGCUUCCGGGAAACCAAAGCUUUUGGGUUCCGGGGGAAGUAUGGUU
rnacentral:rRNA from 1 species